rnacentral:tRNA from 1 species
GCUCUUCUAGUAUAAACCAAUACAGGCGACUUCCACUCACCAAAUCUUAAUCACUAAUUAAGGAAGAGCA